rfam:Aureimonas sp. AT20, complete genome.
CGCGGGGUGGAGCAGCCCGGUAGCUCGUCAGGCUCAUAACCUGAAGGUCGCAAGUUCAAAUCUUGCCCCCGCAA